AAAAUGGAGAGCUCUCAUUCCUGUACUUUGCUCCAAGUGUAGCUUGCAAACCAAGUAUCUCCUCCAUAAAAAAAAAAAAAGAAAUGCGUUCUUCCUUUGCUGAGCUGAUCUCUAAAUGAUAGUUUUCUUCUGGAAAGGUUUAUAAAGAUUUAUAAAGAUGAGCAGUUAUUUAUGUGGAAACCCUCCUCACCAUCACUUCUCCUGGGAGAAAAUACCUGGCCUUUCUCCAAGCCUCAAAGAAAAACAGCUUCUUAUUUUGGACAAUUUUCUAGUCGUCUGAGGAUUUCUAUAGCAGAAAUGCUUUGACUGCCCCAUCACUGUUUGUUGAUGGUUUGGGGGACACAUAACCUCUUAAUUUUCACAAGUCUGCAGGAACUGUUCUUCAGGAGCUGCAGUUCUUAGCUUCACCCGAGGAGCCUCAUCUACAUCUGACCUUAUUUCCAUAUGAAAUUCUGGGUUUUGUUCAGGGCUCUUUCUCUGGGAAGCAAGCUGCCAUAUUGUCAGUACCCUUCUGGAAACACUCAUGUGGAGAGACUCUUACAUUUCUGGCCAACAACCAGCAUGAACCUAAGGCUGCCAACAGGCAUUAGAAUGAACUUGGAAGAGGAUCCUCACCAGUUGAGCCUCGAGAUGACUGGCAGCCUUGGCCAAUGCCUUAUUGCUUGUUAGAGUCCAUGAACCAAAAGCACCCAGCUAAACUGCACCCAGAUACUUGACUCACAGAAACUUUGAAAUAAUAAAUGUUAUUUUAGAGUGGAA
rnacentral:lncRNA from 1 species